GACCCCACAGCUGUGAGAAGUCCCCUGGAGGCAGCGUCCAGUGGAGCUGGGAGCAAAGAGGGCCCAGGAAGGAGGAAUUUGAUUUCUGAUCUCCAGCUGUUAGUGGCAUUACCCUGGAUUACCCUAAACUGAGCCUGGGGCCCGGGGCUUGUCGAGGGACCAAGGAGUCCCACUGUCUCGCCCAGGCACCUAGAGACACAGCUGGCACCACGACCCCCAGCGACACAGGCACUGGUCUUUACAGGAAGCAUUCACACCCACUGCCAUGCCCGGUUCUCACAACAGCCCUGCCAAGGUGAGGCUGCUACUGUCCCAUUUUACAGAUGAGGAAACUGAGGCUCAGAGAGAAGAAGGGACUUGCCUGAGUCAAGGUCCCAUGGUAGCAGUGCUGGGACUCUGCUGACUGCAUAAGCUCUCGUGGGAUGACCCUGGACCUCACUCUGACGAGUUCUAGCCCCGACCUCGAUGGGGGACCUUAAGCAAACUCCUUCUCUGAGCCUCCACUAAGUGGGGAGAUGAGAACAGCACCUAACUCUUGGGGCACCGUGUGGAAUACAUGAGUGAGCACUGUGCCCGGCGCAUGGCAAACACCCCACGAUUGCCCACCCGGACAGAUCACCCGGCAGUCACUGGGUAACCGAAAAUAAUACUGAGCGUGCGCCGUGUGCCCGAAACCCAGCAGACGCAAGUCCCCGCCCUCAGAGCGGACACUCUGGCUGGGGAGACAGCCAACAAACACAGUUGCUUGGAGGAUUAAUGACAGGCACGGAGCUUAGGAGCAUGCCCGUCCCUGAGUAACGCUCAGUGGGUAUCUGUCAACGUGGAUGAGGAAAUGGAGCCUCCGAGAGGUAAAGGAGCUUGUCUGGCGUCAAGCAGCCCGGAGAGCCCGGAUUCCAACACACAGAGCCCUCGUACACGCUCAGAGUGAGCCCCCGAGAGGACCCUGACCCGAGCCCCACCCCGGUUCUGGCAUCCAGGCCUCUAGAUUUUACUCUUGUCCGAUCCAGACAAAGUGGGGGGCUGGCCUGGCUGGUCUGUGACGUUUCCUGCCACUUCUGCCCCGGGGGGCUUCUCCGUGGGCGUCCUCGUCCAGGGCCUGGCUGGCAGGCUGACCCCUCCAGAGAAGCGGGGGAGGGGGAGCGGGGGGCAAGAGCACGUGCGGCGCCCGAGCGUGUGCGCAGCCCUGCCCCUCCCCGGCGCCCACGGGUGCAGCUCCCAGGGCUCCCUGCACGGCGCCCCCGCAGGCGCGCUCCCUCCGGUGCCAUGUGACGCCAGGGGUGGUGUGGGAGGGAGGAGGAUUUGAGCUCCGGCUGACUGACAGCUUUCCCUCCGGGAACGCGGGGAGCCCCCGGGCUGCAGCCCUCAGAGCUUUGAACAGACUAGGACACAGAGCUGUGCUCUGCUGGGUCACUUCCCAGCUUAGUGGGAUCUCAGGCUCUGGGCCUCAGUUUGCUCAUCCACAAAAUGGGGGCAACACUUGCUCCUUCAUCCUCUGGCCAUGGUGACGGUGACAGCAGAACGUGUACGUGAAAACACCCAGCCCCGAGCGGACGCUGGAUCCUGCCACUUACUUCCCACCCCUGUUCCCCUGUGGAGGCUGAGAGGGUCCCAGGCCUGCCAUGAGAAGUGGUGUCCUUUGGCAUCUUGUCGCAGGGACAGGAGUUCAGCUGUGGCAACGGCUGGAGGCCCGGAGUGGACCGGGGUGUCCUGUGCAGACACCCAUCAGACACCUACUGUGCGCCAGGUGUGGGUGCUGGGGACGCAGCCAUGAACGAGGCCACGACCUGCUGGAGCUCCAGUUCUGGAGGGGCCGCCGGACUCCGGACAGCAGGCGAUGAUGAGAACGCUGAAGGAAAAUCAAGCAUCAGGACGCGAUGUGGGGUCACUGGGGUGCUCAUGAGGUAGGAGGGUCAGAGAAGGCACUUCCUAGGGGAGACACUUGAGCAGGACCCCGACAGAAGUCAGCGGGAGCCAUGCAGACAUCCGGGUACCUGCUGGGCAUGUUGGAGGCCCGGGGAGAAGGCACUGGGGCUCGGCAAGGAGCCAGGAAGGGGCAAGGUAAGGGGCAGGGGGUGAUAUGGAGCUUGGAGGGGCUGGGGAGGGGUCCCCCAGGCCCAGCCUUGCCUCAUAGGCCUGGGGAGGGGAGCAUUCUUUGGGAUCACUCCUCUGAGACGCCUGCCCUUGAGGGGUCUUCUAACUUGAACUUAGAAGAUGGACAAGAACAUGCCCUUGAAACUCUGAGUCCAGCCGAAGAGCCUUCCAGCAGCACGAGGCCACCUGGUGCGGCCCCCGGGGUUCACACAGCCCCCUCGCGGACGAAGAAGGUGAGGCUCAGAGCGGGGCGGCGGCGACCUCCCCAGGACCCCCAGCCACGCCGUGGACCUGAAUCCGGAGCACACCCUUCCCGCCCUGCCAUGCUGCGGCUCUUUUUCAAGAUGAUGUUUGUGAAAAUUAGUCUCAGUAAAGACAGCUAAAAGGGAUGGGUCGGGGAUGUUUUUAGCUGCCUGUAAGCCAGAUAAAAGGUUCUGUUGUUGCAAAAAUGCUUUUCUUGUGUAUGCUAUAAGCAACCACUAAUUUCAGAAAUUAUCCAGCCUCGCUAAGCAGAAAUGACGGGUGGCUUUUUGAAUUUGGGAUGAAGACGGGUUCUGUGUGUCUGUGUGCUGUUGCCGAUGGUUUACUUAGGACAGGAAUCUUUUCCUGCCUUCAGUGUAGUACAUUUCAAGGAGGCAGGGACCAUGUCUUUUCUAUCCACGCAGCCCUGGCAGAGGAGGUGCGCCAUUGGCGUUUACUGAAGAGGAGGUUUCCCGAGUGGCCACAACUGUGCGAUCCUCUGUCUUCACCCGUAGGUGGAUGGGAGUAUA